CCAUAGGAAUACUAUUACGAAAAAACAAUUUUAUAUCAAAAGUCUUGACCAAAUUACGUGCCAGCAGUCGCGGUAAUACGUAGAAGACAAGUGUUAGUCAUCUUUAAUAGGUUUAAAGGGUACCUAGACGGCAUUAUUAACCCGAAACGGAAAUAGUUUUGCUAGAGUUUGAUACGAGAAGGGGAGUAUUUAGGGAGUAGAGAUGAAAUUCUUUGAUACCUUAAGGACUGGUUAGGGCGAAAGCGGCCUUUUAUGUAAAAACUGACGUUGAGGGACGGAGGCUUAGAUAGCGAACAGGAUUAGAUACCCUAGUAGUCUUUGCAGAGAAUUAUGAAUGUCAUAGAUUAGAUUUAUUUUGGUUUAUAAAUGAAAGUGUAAGCAUUCCACCUCAUGAGUAAUGUGGCAACGCAGGAACUGAAAUCAUUAGACCGUUUCUGAGAACAGUAGUGAAGUAUGUUAUUUAAUUCGAUGGCCCUCGAAAAACCUUACCACAACUUGAAUAUUAGCAUAGACGAUCCUCCUAGAGAAUUAGAAACAGAACCUAAUAUAAAUUAACCCCUCUCUAGGAACUUAUUAAGUGUGAGUAUGUAUUGGAUAGUUUAAACUUCCGAUUACAGAAUAGUACUAGUAAUCUAUGACGGAUUGUGUAGAUUUUAUAAGGAGUAGUGUUGCAUUUUAACGAUGCAGUAUCAGACCUAUAUACGGUGUUAAAUACAAGUGUUGCACGGUUGUCUUCAGCUAAUGUCGUGAGACUGUGGUUAGCUCCAUUAAAUUAGCGGAAACCCCGGCUUUAUUUUUUAAUUUUUUUAUCAUAAAGCCAGUUCUAUCAUAUUUAUGAUUAGGGAAAAC
rnacentral:rRNA from 1 species